GCUCUUUGCUGACGAGUGGCGGACGGGUGAGUAAUGUCUGGGAAACUGCCUGAUGGAGGGGGAUAACUACUGGAAACGGUAGCUAAUACCGCAUAACGUCGCAAGACCAAAGAGGGGGACCUUCGGGCCUCUUGCCAUCGGAUGUGCCCAGAUGGGAUUAGCUUGUUGGUGGGGUAACGGCUCACCAAGGCGACGAUCCCUAGCUGGUCUGAGAGGAUGACCAGCCACACUGGAACUGAGACACGGUCCAGACUCCUACGGGAGGCAGCAGUGGGGAAUAUUGCACAAUGGGCGCAAGCCUGAUGCAGCCAUGCCGCGUGUAUGAAGAAGGCCUUCGGGUUGUAAAGUACUUUCAGCGGGGAGGAAGGGAGUAAAGUUAAUACCUUUGCUCAUUGACGUUACCCGCAGAAGAAGCACCGGCUAACUCCGUGCCAGCAGCCGCGGUAAUACGGAGGGUGCAAGCGUUAAUCGGAAUUACUGGGCGUAAAGCGCACGCAGGCGGUUUGUUAAGUCAGAUGUGAAAUCCCCC
rnacentral:rRNA from 1 species